GAUGAACGCUGGCGGCGUGCCUAAUACAUGCAAGUCGAGCGAACGGACGAGAAGCUUGCUUCUCUGAUGUUAGCGGCGGACGGGUGAGUAACACGUGGAUAACCUACCUAUAAGACUGGGAUAACUUCGGGAAACCGGAGCUAAUACCGGAUAAUAUUUUGAACCGCAUGGUUCAAAAGUGGAAGACGGUCUUGCUGUCACUUAUAGAUGGAUCCGCGCUGCAUUAGCUAGUCGGUAAGGUAACGGCUUACCAAGGCAACGAUGCAUAGCCGACCUGAGAGGGUGAUCGGCCACACUGGAACUGAGACACGGUCCAGACUCCUACGGGAGGCAGCAGUAGGGAAUCUUCCGCAAUGGGCGAAAGCCUGACGGAGCAACGCCGCGUGAGUGAUGAAGGUCUUCGGAUCGUAAAACUCUGUUAUUAGGGAAGAACAUAUGUGUAAGUAACUGUGCACAUCUUGACGGUACCUAAUCAGAAAGCCACGGCUAACUACG
rnacentral:rRNA from 1 species